rnacentral:tRNA from 1 species
GCCCCGGUAGCUCAGCAGGAUAGAGCACCGGUUUCCUAAACCGGGGGUCGCAGGUUCGAAUCCUGCCGGGCGCGCCA